AUGCAUUCCAUGAAUAACAAUGCUCUAGAUAUUUCUCAUGAUGCAUUACAUAAUUUGAGUCUCCAUUAUGCUAUACAUAAUAACAAACCUAUCAUGAUGGAUGACAUGUUUCUAUAUCACGCAUCUCAUUUAUUUGUGCAUUGGCUAUUUUGUGCUAACCGACACAUGCAUGUGCGCAUCAUGAUGGAUGAUGUGUACAUAUACCAUGCACACACAAUUUUUCCUUUGUCUUUGUUUUGUGUAGGUACUUAUGAACACUCGUCAACCUCACAAUCCCAUGAGUUGACGAAACGAGCUCUUGAGAGCAAGGAUGACUUGGGAUCCCAUGGACUAUCCUUACCACCAUUCCCUUCGCGCAACGACUACGCGCAUCUCUUCUACUUGGCUCUCACUCGGCUAUGGGCUAUUUACCAUUUGUCACCUUAUGCUCAUUUUACCGUGUUCACUUUGCAUGCUAUGCUUGCUCCUAUGCCUUUGCCAUGCCAUUGUGACCCUUGCUUGCAUUUACCCAUGAUUCACCAUUAUGCUACUUCUAUGUGUAUUUGCAUGCUUGGUGGAGAUCCUUGUUGCUAUUGCCAUGUUUAUCAUCUGCCCCAUGCUAUCGAUGCUUGUUGUGUUGGGAGAGUCAUGAUGACCCAUUGCUAUUUACAUAUGGCCUCUCGCCAAUACAUCCAUGCCACUCUACUCACAUCUUGCUUUCAUGCUUGUGCUAUGUCAUGUCCAUUAUUCAUGCCCACUAUUUGCACACAUGACAUGCUUGCCAUGAUUCCUUCUAGUAAGUUGCAUCUUCGCACUACUAGCUUGCUUAACUUGAUUGCUAUGAUUGCUUUCUAUGUUGCAUCACCCAUGUUCCACUAUUACUCGCUUUCUUGGGUUGAUGACAUAUAUGAUCAUGCCUCUCACAUGAUAUAUCUUGAUCAUUGUCUCUUGUGUCCAUUAGUUGCUUCUUUCAUAUCCACUUGUAUUGAGUGCAACCAUCCUAUGCUUAUUGAUCUUGGAGACUUUGACACGUUACUUGUGAUGCAUGCUUGUUUGAUUGAGCCUAUUGCAUUUGGUUGUUCUCGCAUCAUAUGCCUACAUACUAUGCAAUAA
rnacentral:rRNA from 1 species